GGGACUCCGAGUGCGAGGGCAUAUAGCCCUCGCUUUUCUGAACCGUAAGGUGGUUCAGGAACAAGUGCUGGGCAAGACCGGUGCCAGCCGCCGCGGUAAUACCGGCAGCACGAGUGAUGGCCGAUAUUAUUGGGCCUAAAGCGUCCGUAGCUUGCUGUGUAAGUCCAUUGGGAAAUCCACGCGCUCAACGCGUGGGCGUCCGGUGGAAACUACACGGCUUGGGGCCGAGAGACUCGACGGGUACGUCCGGGGUAGGAGUGAAAUCCUGUAAUCCUGGACGGACCACCAAUGGGGAAACCACGUCGAGAGACCGGACCCGACAGUGAGGGACGAAAGCCAGGGUCUCGAACCGGAUUAGAUACCCGGGUAGUCCUGGCCGUAAACAAUGCUCGCUAGGUAUGUCACGCGCCAUGAGCACGUGAUGUGCCGUAGUGAAGACGAUAAGCGAGCCGCCUGGGAAGUACGUCCGCAAGGAUGAAACUUAAAGGAAUUGGCGGGGG
rnacentral:rRNA from 1 species